CAGCAGCCGCGGUAAUACGGAGGGUCCGAGCGUUAUCCGGAAUUAUUGGGUUUAAAGGGUCCGUAGGCGGGCCAUUAAGUCAGGGGUGAAAGUCUGCGGCUCAACCGUAGAAUUGCCUUUGAUACUGGUGGUCUUGAGUUAUGGUGAAGUGGCUGGAAUAUGUAGUGUAGCGGUGAAAUGCAUAGAUAUUACAUAGAACACCGAUUGCGAAGGCAGGUCACUAACCAUAUACUGACGCUGAUGGACGACAGCGUGGGGAGCGAACAGGAUUAGAUACCCUGGUAGUCCACGCCGUAAACGAUGGAUACUAGCUGUCCGGGUCCUUGAGACCUGGGCGGCCAAGCGAAAGUGAUAAGUAUCCCACCUGGGGAGUACGUUCGCAAGAAUGAAACUCAAAGGAAUUGACGGGGGCCCGCACAAGCGGUGGAGCAUGUGGUUUAAUUCGAUGAUACGCGAGGAACCUUACCAGGGCUUAAAUGCAUAUUGACAGGGGUAGAGAUACCUUUUUCUUCGGGCAAUUUGCAAGGUGCUGCAUGGUUGUCGUCAGCUCGUGCCGUGAGGUGUCAGGUUAAGUCCUAUAACGAGCGCAACCCCUACCGUUAGUUGCCAGCGAGUCAUGUCGGGGACUCUAACGGGACUGCCGGUGCAAACCGUGAGGAAGGUGGGGAUGACGUCAAAUCAUCACGGCCCUUACGUCCUGGGCCACACACGUGCUACAAUGGCCGGUACAGAGAGCAGCCAUCUGGCAACAGAGAGCGAAUCUACAAAACCGGUCACAGUUCGGAUCGGGGUCUGCAACUCGACCCCGUGAAGCUGGAAUCGCUAGUAAUCGGAUAUCAGCCAUGAUCCGGUGAAUACGUUCCCGGGCCUUGUACACACCGCCCGUCAAGCCAUGGAAGCCGGGAGUGCCUGAAGUCCGUCACCGUAAGGAGCGGCCUAGGGCAAGAUCGGUAACUAGGGCUAAGUCGUAACAAGGUAACCGUA
rnacentral:rRNA from 1 species